CCUACGGGAGGCAGCAGUGGGGAAUAUUGCACAAUGGGCGAAAGCCUGAUGCAGCAACGCCGCGUGAGCGAUGAAGGCCUUCGGGUCGUAAAGCCCUGUCCUCAAGGAAGAUAAUGACGGUACUUGAGGAGGAAGCACCGGCUAACUACGUGCCAGCAGCCGCGGUAAUACGUAGGGGGCUAGCGUUAUCCGGAAUUACUGGGCGUAAAGGGGGCGUAGGUGGUUUAUUAAGUCAGAGGUGAAAGGCUACGGCUAAACCGUAGUAAGCCUUUGAAACUGGGGGACCUGAGUGUAGGAGAGGAGUGUGGAAUGCGUAGUGUAGCGGUGAAAUGCGUAGAUAUUAGGAGGAACACCAGUUGCGAAGGCGGCUCUCUGGACUGUAACUGACACUGAGGCACGAAAGCGUGGGGAGCGAACAGGAUUAGAUACCCUAGUAGUC
rnacentral:rRNA from 1 species